GCGCCAAAGCCUGGAUCCAGUGUUAAACCUUUCGUUUAACACACUGAUCUUCCCUCCUUGCGACACCGCGUCGGCGCCGAUCCAACAAACACGACGCUAGAGAAAAAAAACUCCUCCGAACCUCUCGAUCUUGCGCCAAUAACCAAGGGUAUCAAAAACGCGAACACGCUUUCUCACUCACGAAGACAUCAAGAAAAACGCCAUGGAAUCUACGCUCAACCUUAUCCUCAAAAUGAAAUCGAAACCGGAAAUGCGCUAUAUGCAUAUGUUGAGGGAAGACGUACCUUAACGUACGCAUCGUUAAUGCUCGCCGUUCUUCAAUCACCGUGUAUCGAAGCUGAAGGCAAAAAUUCCACUCGACUCGUCGUUACGUUGUGAUGAAGGAAGCGGAUUCUAUUCAAAUUGUCCUUGCGUUGUGACUCCAGAUUCGGUUCGACCUCGUUGCCAUCAGAUCGUAUGAAAGCCCCCACUUGUCAGUUUGGUCCAUAAGAUGCCAUGCUGUGAGGGCCACACAUUUGCUUGUUCUUAACAUGCUGAUGGUUUAUGCAGAAUGUUGUGGCAAUGAUUGUUCACUUACUCCAUGUUCUGUUUGGGGUGGCUUGCGCUUUUUGCAGCUGAGCAUCCAAUGGAUCUUGGUGGUUUAUAUUACUGACUUGAACUGAUCUAGCAGGUUCUCCUAACAUGCUCCGAUGUGGAUUACUUGCGGAUCAUGGCGUGGACUUAUUUCCAUCUUGUUUCAAGUUCUGUCCCUGGUUCUUUGUGAAAUGAAUUGCCUGGGCUGCAUCAUACUACGGGUAAGAAUCCUCGAUCCCGAACUUGGUUCAGUGUCUCUUUAGCUUAGCUCGUGUACUUGUGAACUGAUUUGGGUGUACUACUGUGAUGCGUGGUUUUCUGUCGAAUCAUUUUGUGGGUUGAAUCUGGUUCCGUUUGCUGGUUUGGGGAGGCCUUGAAGCUUGGUUUAGGAGCAGUAUGCAGGUUCUGGAAAGCGUCUUUUCUUCAACUCUGUUAGAACUUCCUUUCAUGCUUUUGUUGUGCGUAAUCGUUAUUGACUAAUAAUGAAUGACUUGGAAUAUCUGCAAGACGACGGUCUAUUACGUAUGGAAUCAGGUGCAGCGUUUUGACACGGUGGGGGCUUUGACACAGUCGUGAAGCGUACCCGGACUUGGAUGCGGCUUCAGACACCUUAUGAAUGCUUGGAUGGCCUUAGGUUCAAGCUUGAUUUGAAUGGUUGCACAUUGUACCUUUUUUGAAAUUGGCUGUUAUGAAUUGAUCCGAGUGGACUUGUUGUAGCUGGCGUUCAGUUGCCGUUGGGUAUUUGCGUUGCCGGAAGUGUGCUGCAGUUAUGCGUGCUUUUUGCGGUGGCUUGCGUUUUCACCUUGUUUCUUUUUGGUUUUGAUUGUGGUGUCGGAGCUUGGAUCUGCAACGUUUGUUGUUUCGCUUGGCCUUGCGUCUCGGUGGUUUGCAGCUGGUAUGUUGCUACGGUGGUAUGCAUCUUGCUCGUAGCUCCACAUGCGUUUUUCACUAUUGCGUGAAGGUAUUUGUAGUUUGUGUGGGUGCUUUGGCGUUUUGCUCUCAAACCUUGUCUCAUAGGGAUUUAAAGUUGUUCCUUUCUUGGGCUACGGAUCUCAGAGAUCAGUUGGCGUAGGUUGACAUUGUCUGUCUUGAGGGACUGCUUGUGCUUAAUUUCUGAUCAUCAUAUUUGAGUCAUGAAGGAAUAUGGAAUUCAUGAUUCUUGGACUAAAUUGUGCUCUAUUUCAUACCUGCAAGAUCCUAGUAAGUGUGAUAUCUUGUCUAAGGCAUUGCAUGUUUUUGACGAUGACAGACUACUUCUGGAAACUGUAACUCUAAAGGAUUGGAAAACGAAGGUGGUUGUUUACAAUCCAAAGAAUGAUACUUUUAAGGUUGCUAUGUUUAAAAACAUGCUAUAUGUCUGUCUUGAAAGUUUGAUUUCACCUUGCUUUUAAUGCUAGGAUGUAUCAUGUAGAUGCAAUGCUAUGCCACUUGAGCGUAUAUGUUAAUUUAUGUUUUUUAUUUUCUACUUGCUAGUUAUCAUUACCGGCUACUUGAUGGAUUAUUGUUAUAACUAAUAGUUGUCAAUCUAAACCUUGACAAAUUGUAAUUUUCAUUUAUACUCUACAUUCUCAUUCAUUUGAAGUUCAUAAUUUUCUUGAAAACACAUAAAACUACCAUUUCAAGAAUAAUAAUAAGGACUCCUUUCUUGAAUUUAGUUUUCCACAUGAUCUAAGUUAGUUGAUGGUGUAGAUACAUCAUCUCUUAUCAAUGGUGAAGGAGAAUAAGAAUAAAUAGAAGAUAUGGAAUUAUUUUCAAAUAUAUUUGAAAUUAUAUCUUCAUUGUGCUUCGCCCCUCGUCGCUAAAUCACACCAUUUUUGGAUUGUCUUAACAACUAUAUUGUGUUAGGUUUGAAGGGAUAGUAUUUAUAAAACUUUGACAAUCCUAACAUUACAUAAAGAGGUGAUUAUUUUCGAUAGAACUAAUAUUUGCGAUAGCAAUGUAUAUAGCAACAACUUAGAUAUGGUUCAUCUAUAUGUGUUCAACAUGAUAUUUGCGAUAGAACUAAUAUGUCUUCAACAUUGGAUCAUAUCUUUCUUGGUACCUCGAAGUGUUGUCGAAACUAUGUCACAUAGUUUGCAAGAGGUGCCAACUACAACGUCUUAGUAAUUUGUGGGGUGUCAGUGUUACCUCGAAGUGUAAACUGGAACACUUAGAUGGUUCGAAGACGAGGUGCAGAUGGUAGGAUUCCAGUCUGCACGUUAGAUUGGGGCGCAUCUUCAUCUGCAGCUAAGCCGGCUGGAUAUCCAGGAGGGCCGUACGAUACGUCUCUUUUGGUAAAGUACGAACAUCAUGUUGCUCGACCUUUAUGGUUCGGUGAGGAAAGAGGUCCAAAGAAAGAGUUGAAGGUUGCUGGACAUGGACUGAAGUUGACUUUUAGGGUUCCAUUGACUCUUCCACCACAGAUGGAGAGUUAGGUAUCUAGAUUUGGUUUAUCUUCACUUCAGAGAACCAGUCUGAACAAGAUAGACACAAAUCUUGUUUCUGCAUUUGCGGAAAGAUGGCAUCUAGAGACAUCUUCAUUUCACAUGCCGUUUGGUGAAAUGAACAUUACUUUGGUUGAUGUCUCAUGCCUGUUUCACUUGCCCAUCAGGGGUAUCUUCUGGAGUCCUCAGGAUGUGACGGAAGAGAUAGUUGUUGAACUUGCUGUUGACUAUCUAGGAGUGUCACAGGGUGAAGCACAAUCACAUGUUCGGAGCUGCAGGGGUUCGUAUUACAAGUUGGAGUGGUUAUACGAUUUAUUCGUACAACAUAGAGCUGCUUCCAGCUGGGCAUAUGCGACCAGAGCAUAUCUAUUGAUGUUGGUGGGUUCCAUCAUAUUUGCCGAUAAGACCUAGCACGAUACCUCCUACUGUUUACGGACUUGGAUAGAUGUUCAGGAUAUAGUUGGGGAGCAGCUGCACUAGUUACCCUAUACAGAUAUCUUGGAGAUGGGUCCAUGUACAGUUGCAAAUAGCUCGGUGGAUAUCCUACUCUCCUACAGUGUUGGAUUCACGAAUACUUUCCAACUGUUGGAAAAAGAGGAGAGAAUUGGAAAUCGUCUUUAUAGAGGCUGUUUGAAGUGGGGUGAAACAAUUGUUCCAUACUUGUCUGACAAAUGCUUACGUUAGUUCGGGUAUAGGCAGUAUGUUUCAUCCCCACCUCUUGAUUGUAUGAUGGCGACGGAUAUUGAUGUUGAUUGGAUUAGUUACCAUUAGAGUGUUAUCGCUGUGAUCGGUCCAUCUACCCUGGCCACCACUCCAUCUGAUGUAGAAGAUGGUUAUCUAGAGUGGUAUUAUUGUGUUUCGCAUCCACGGCUGGUCCCUCCCCAUCGUGACGAUCCAAGAGAGGUACCAGUUCCUGUAUAUGACGCCGGACCAUCUGAUCCUGAUUGGGCUCGUGUAUCUAUAUUGAUUCAUCGCUAUCUGAGACAGAUUAAUGCCGAAGAGGAAGAUCCACAAUUUGCUGAUUUAUUUGAAGCUUUGCAUAUUUCUCGUUCACAUUGAUUUAUGUAUUAAGUUUUAGAACUGAAUAUAAUAGACAUAAUAUAAAAUUCAUGUUUUGAUUA